rnacentral:rRNA from 1 species
GACGAACCGUGCGAACGUUGUUCGGAAUCACUGGGCUUAAAGGGCGCGUAGGCGGGCCCGCCGGUCAGGGGUGAAAGCCCCCAGCUCAACUGGGGAAGUGCCUCUGAUACCGCGGGCCUCGAGGGAGGUAGGGGCGUGCGGAACUUCCGGUGGAGCGGUGAAAUGCGUAGAUAUCGGAAGGAACACCGGUGGCGAAAGCGGCGCGCUGGAUCUCUUCUGACGCUGAGGCGCGAAAGCCAGGGGAGCAAACGGG